GCGGCUCCGGAAGGUGCAGGCACCAUGGUCCUCCUCACUCCACCUGCUGGUGACAAAAUUAUGCUACAUUGUUGCAUUAUUGCACAAUUACAUUUGAAAAUUCAACCUCCCUAUUGGCCCAAUUCAAAUCUCAAAGCUGUUUAUCCUCCUUCUUUUUGUGCUGUCACAUUUGUGCUCUGUUACCUCGGCUUGCGUGGAUUCUCUGUCAUAGGGUCUGUUUCUAUUGCUACUAAAUUUGUACCUGAUGAAGUCAGUUAUUUGACGAAACGUCGUACUAGCAUACAGCAGCCUAAUUUCCUAAAAAUAAAUACGGAUAUUGGCUGGAUCGCACUUGUCUUAUUACCUUACAGUUUAGCUUAGCUUCAUUCCGUUAUCGUUCGAGUUCCUGCACUGCUCGAAGAGAACCAUGCAUCCCAACGACCCCCUAACCAACGCAGGUGGAGUGAGGAGGACCAUGGUGCCUGCACCUUCCGGAGCCGCCAGCAGUGGUCGCUGAUUGUCCCUAAACCGGGUGGUGUUGGACUGACAGCUCGCGACAGAAUUUAAUAAAAACAUAAUCAAAUGA